rnacentral:rRNA from 1 species
UACGGAGGGGGCUAGCGUUAUUCGGAAUUACUGGGCGUAAAGCGCGCGCAGGUGGCGCAAUAAGUGGCUGGUGAAAGCCCUCGGCUCAACCGAGGAACUGCCUGCCAAACUGCUGCGCUUGAGGCCGGGAGGGGGAAGCGGAAUUCCUGGUGUAGCGGUGAUAUGCGUAGAUACCAGGAGGAACACCGGUGGCGAAGGCGGCUUCCUGGACCGGUUCUGACACUCAUGCGCGAAAGCGUGGGGAGCAAACAGG